AAAAAGAACAUAAAACAAAAAGAAGAAGAAGAGGAGACCAUGAUCGAAUCAAACCGAAUACGAAGAAAGCUUGCAACUCAGGAAUAGUAAUGGCAUAUGUAUUAUCCAAGUUGUUGGAUGGUCACGGACAAUUACAACAGGCAAGUUGGGAGACAAAAUGCUGACUGCUGACUAGGGGAAGAGAAAAUGACACAAAGUCUGGAGUAAAAGCAGAGGAAAAGAAAAUAAACUAAAAUGGUAAUAUUCUAGUAAAAACAUAGAGUUGUGCUGUGUGUUCAGUUUAAGUAAUCUGAUUUUUGUAUUCUUGCUUCAUGCAAUUAUUGAGUUAUGUUUCCUAACCUCCAUGUGUGUUAUUAUAUGUUUAAACUAUCACAUGGCUACAAACUCCAGUCUGUUAAAUGUAUGUUUGGAUUUACAUAUUCUUUGGCUAUAUAUAUAUUGUACGUCAGUA